rnacentral:rRNA from 1 species
AUGAUAUGCCUCCUCAGCAUCGGGUAUUUUCCUCAAUCCAAGUCCACCUGCUGGUGCACCACUAACCCAAGUCUACGUGCUACUUUCACCUUUUGCAACUUCUUUUUUGGAGUAAAUCGUUCGUUUCCACCUGGACCCGACCAAUUCAUUUACCUUGUUCUUCAUGUCCACAAGCGUGACAACCUGAGACUGAGAGAAGACCACCAGAACCUAGACCUUUCAGCAAGGCUGCCACUCAUAUUUGCAUCCCUGCAACAGACACAGAACCUUGGCUGCGGCGCACAUUUAACGACCAACAAAUUCGAUCACAACAGUACCACCGAUAACAAGACGGUGUUUGGCGGUGAGGGAGUAAACAUGUUUAGACCUCUUCACACCACAAAGGAACACAAAAGAGGCCUUAUUAUUAUCCUGCUAACCAUACUAAGGGUGUUCCUAUAA